CCGCGCGCGGCGGAGGGGAGGGGGGGUGCGGUCGCUGGCUGCCGCCGCGGCGCAUGCGCCAGUGGGCGGUGCGGGUGGCGGAGCGGCGCGAGGAGCGAUUUCUAAUCGGGCAGCGCCGUGUUUUGGCAUCAGCCGUGGCCCGUGUGGCGGGUGUGGAUGGGAGCCGUGACGGGAGCAGCGGUGCCCGGCAGCUAGAACCAAAAUUCCCGUGCUCUCUCCAUCCACUGCAGCCGCAGAGGCAAAGCAGCGCGACGCGGUUGCCUAGAACGGCAGAAAACCAUGAGGAGGGAAAGAAAAGCAAUCUGAGAAAGCAUAGAAGAGAAAAAAUUAUCAGCAAUUAGGGAGAGAAAGUUAAAUCAAG
rnacentral:lncRNA from 1 species